CCAUUCAUCUUUUUUCUGUAAAAUAAAGGUAUCUUCUUUAUUUACAGGGAGAAAAAAAAAGUAUUUUAAGUAGUAUAAAACUUCAAAGAAAAGGUGGCACAUUUUGUCUUAAAAACAAAUAGUUUAAUUUCACUUUUAUCUGGAACAAAACAAGUUUAAAAGGAAAGAGCAAGCGCUUUGACAUGUCAUCACGUGUCAUUUUUUAUGGUACUACUUUUGUUCAAAAUGUGAAGACACAGAACCUUUAUACAUUUCAGGAAGCAAAAUGCAGAUGAAAACAGAUUGGUUAUAAAAUGUCAAUUCACUAAAUACUGCAUUUUCUCUGUUUUUAUGGAGAAUAUUUCAUAGAAACACUGUAUAAAAUAAGGCAGACUUUUGGAAAUUCAAUUAUAAAAUUUUAGGAAAAAAGUGUGAAGUCCUAGUUUCUUCCACUUUGGGGAGUCACCUGCAGAGCCCGUCAGACAACUAGAGCAGUUUCUGAGCUCUGGUUGCUGUACAGGAGCCCUUCUCCUUGAGUGCUUCUAGAAUCAGACCCACCCACAAAACAGCUUUUCCCAAUUAGCAUCAAUCAGGAAAGUUUAACAUACACAAAUAUUUCUAUAGUGCAGUAAAAAUGUGUCAUUUUGUAUUUUAAAUUUGCAUUAUGAAAAUAAGUCUGUACACAAAGUAAUACAUAUUUAAUGAAUAUGAAUCAUGUAAAUUUGGUUAUGGCAUUUAAAAGUUGGCUUUGGCUUUGAAGUAUUUUUAAAUUCAUAGAAAAUAUUGAACUUCUAAUAAAAUAAAUAAAACAUUUUAAUAAUUGAUAUUAAUAACUUCAAAAUUUCUUUGCAUUUUCUGUUCAAUUUUAAAAGAGAAGUCAUUGCACCUUCUACGAUGUGAAAAAAUCCGAUUGCCAUUGCCAUCCGAUUGUUCUUAAGUGCUGAACAUAACAGAGAAACUGCAACAAGACACUCUCUGUCACUGGCAGGAAAUCCAUCACCGUCCCUCGCGGGGGCAGUCCCGAGCUCAUGUUUUCACGGACGUGAAUGCAAACCAUGGUUCUCACGUGACUUUCUGAAGCCCCCCCGCAGCAGGCCCAGGUACCUUGAGUGGACUAAGUCUCACUUUAUGGCAAUGGCAUCAGAUGGUGGCUACAGAAGGUUGCCGACGUCCCUGUGUGCUCUUACAGGCUCUGCAGACCGGGGGACGAAAGGACCAAGGAAAUCUGACUGCCCUCAGGAAUCCCAAGUGACUGGAGGGACACAGCGUCAGGGCCCCAGGCAGUGCUGCCCACUAUUCAGGAGGUGGGCGGAGGCUCCGCAGCUUCAUUUCGUCCAGUCCCUUCCAGUAUUUAAAAUUGUUGUCAAGAUGCUGCAUUAACUCAGGCAGGUCUACAAAGGCUAGAGAAAAAAGAUGGCACUGUGAUACCCUUUCACAGCCUCAGUAAAUUUAGACUUUGAGGCUUUCUAAGGAGAGAGCAUUUUACGGAAGAGGGGCAGACAGGAGCAGACAACUGCACAGUGCUCAGCAGACACAGCAAACCCAGUGGCCGGAAUGAACUAAAGCCAAGUCCUGUGCUCAGUGCCAGCAGCUCCUCUGUAACCACCUGGUGAGCUGACAACUGGUAGGUGAAGCAGAAGGGGAGCUCAUCUGCAUACUCACCAUUUGAUCAGCACCUUUGGGGCCCAGGGUGCCAGGAGCCAGGCCCUAGGCCCUGACUGGCUCUCCUGGGAGUUCUCCCUGCUCCCCCCGCAAUUUAUACCACCAUCUUCCACCUGCAGCACAUGCCCUAGGGCAUGAGUGGGGAGCAAGUCAUUUUACAUAUGAAGAAAAUGGGGCCAGGAGAGGCCAUGAAUCUGGACUCAAGGAGCUGCAGAGCCUGCAGUCUGGCCCCAAAGCUGCAGCUCUUUCCACCGUCUGAGUCGUCCUUCCCCCACCUCCCAGCACCCUGAGAUGGGGGUUUGUCUCCUGCCCAUGGAUCUGGACAGGGAGUAUUAGUGGGGCCCCUUCCCUGAGAGUCCUUUACGUGACAGGCUCCUGCAGGCACCUGAGGUUAAAGAAGAGGGACGUGUACCCGUCAGAGACCAGCCUGCUCUCGGGUCGGCUACCACGUGAGGCGGGAGAAGCUGGGGGAGCGGAUGGCAAAAGGGCUCCCACAGAACGACGUGGGCUUUGGAGUCAACGUAAGUGUUUCUGAAUCCUGGGCUCUCCACCACCGGCUGUGCAGCCCCAAGUUCAAUCCUCUCAUCUAUGAAACUGGCACAACAACGUCUAGCCCCUGGGGCCAGGGGCAGCUGAGGAGGAAGAGUACAGAGAGCACCCCGCCCUCACGGCCCUCGGUGUCAGCUCACUGCUUCUCCUCAGCCCUUCUUCAAAGUCUGAGCCCCCAAACAUAUAUCUACAGUCAAAAACUACACUAUGCACUACUUAAUAUGCAGUUCCCCGUUACUGAGGGAAAUAUGCUCAAAGCGUUCUUACCGUCCCAAGCAGCAAACAUGUCUGUGAUGAAGUAGUCAAUGAAAGAGAUUUGAGAUUUGGGGAUGCUGCAGGUAUUUCUGUCAAAAACUGGCAUCACCACAGGCAAGUCCUGUCGCUUCUCUUCAUCAGUCUGCAAAGCAGAAAAUGCCAGAAUUACGAGGCUCCAGUAUCUGGCUCCACUCCCCGUCAGCAGCAACCCCUCUGCCAAAAGCCUCUCCUGGCAGCCCAGGGUGCUCGUGGGGAGAAGCCGAUCGCAGCACCAGCCAACAACCCGGAUCUGCCACUACAUACCACGUCAUCCCCGAUGGGGGCUGCUCUAUGCCAGGGGCACCAAGGACACCCCAACCCAACCCACAUUUUCAACACCUGGAACCCUCUUGCUGAAGCUCCUGAGGUACGACUGCAAAUGGUACCUGCGGUGCAUGAGCACACUAGUCAGCUCAGCCAUCCUUCCACCCAGCAGGCGUUUCAAGGGCCUGAUCCAGGGCGGCAAUGGUUGCUUUCAUCAAAGGGUCCUGGAGAAAAGGAUGAGGGGAUGCCUGGAGGAUGAUGAUGAAGCAGGAGGUCUUCCUGGAACGAGGUGGGAAUGAGGGCAAACUGGGCCAGUCCCCCUUGUUGAUCUUGACAACUGGCCAGCAGCUGCCUCCCCUGUUCCGUUCACUUCUGUUCUGCUGUCUUGGCCGAGGCCUGGCAAUCACCAGCAGGGCCGCAGGGACUGGUUAGAAGCCACCUUGCCCUGCACAAAGGUGGAUCCAAGGCCCGGGCGACUGGAAGAACUAGGCCCCACAGCUAACGGCAGGUGACUUUCCCUGGAAGUGACAAUGACUCACUACAGCUCUCAACAUGGAAUCUCCACUUGGGGGCAGCAGGUACAUGGAGCUUCUCAGGCCCUAUUCGCUUUUGAAGACCACUGUUUGUUUGCCAAUGAAGUCCUCCGUGCCCAUGCCCCACUUCUAGGCCACCAAUGAGAUCUCCAUGCCUGGGAGACAGUCAAAGAUUCUACAGUAACCAAGUGAAUCUCCAAUCAAGAAAAAGCCAUAUUCAAAAUGGAAUUAAGAAGCUGCAUCUUACCUGAGAAAAAUAUUCUUCUGAGAUACGUGCGGCCCACUCAAUGCACUGUUCCAGGGGUCGGCAGGGAUUGGACACAUCAGCACACUUAAUCAGCAUUCGUUUGAUCAAACUGCGGUUGUCUGGAGUUCUGAGCAUAGUGAUUAUGGCUUCUUGAUUUUUAUCAGUUUCCUAAAACAUGAGUGGAAUUCAAAGCAAUCAAAAUGGGGCCCCAGGUACCAAGCCGGUUUACUCCUGCGGUCCCACUGUAACCACAGUAAGGCACUGCCCAGGAUCUACAAGUUAGGAUCUCACAAACAGUGCGGAGGAUACUCUGCGGAUUGAGCUUGGCCCCUUACUCUACAAACGGGAAAACCAAGGCCUAGUGAGAUUCCAGCAGGACCCAGAAGUAGAGGGUAGCGCUGGAGGUUGGCGUAUCUGCCUUUCCUCUUCUUUUUGGCUCUUCCUCUCACUCUCACAGUUACCUUUUCUUUCUGUUCUAUUAUGUCUAUCAUGCUCCCUUGGUAAGCACUCAAAAGACUGGCUUUAUCUUUUAUUAUAUUCACUAAAAAACAGAGUGAACUGAAAAAUAAAAGAUUUCUCUGCCCUCAUAACAAAGCAUCUUAUAGUCCACCAGGGGCUCUGCUUCUCACACGCCAAUCUCCAGUCACCUAGCUCUGUGAGAGGUAUGAUCUUGGGAACUAGCUGUCCGUGUACCAAGGCUGUGUCAGAUAUAGUGAUACGUCCUCAACACUGCCCUAACAUUUUAUGGUGUACAGAGGACUUAGUCAUUCUCUUUUGGUCUGCACUCACAAAAAGGUCCUGUGGUAGGCAUGAAAAUCAGUAUUAUUUACACUGUUACAUUUUACAGAUGAGAACCCUGGGACCCUGAGAGGUGAAGAAACUUGUCCAAAGCUACCCAGCUGAGCCAGGAUAAGAACCUAAGUUCUACCUUUAGUCCUGGAUUCUGUCUAUUCACAGUACCACAUGCUAUCUGAUUCACAAGGAGCCCCUCUGGAUAUGGAAUCUCAAUCCAGGGUGUGAGGGACUCUCUGCUUAUUGGCCCCCUGAAGCAAAUUCAGAUUGGAAGAGGGAGUCCUGGGGCAAAGAACGUGGUAAGAGGCAUGAGCAAGCAUCUCCUCAUUCUGAUCCUGUGCCCAUCGGGCAACUUUCCAGAGGAGUCAGUCAUGUGAUUUCUGUGCGUAGUCACAGUAGUCUAAGAAGGCCUGAUGAUCCUGUCUCAGUGGGGACAGAUCUACCAUCAAGAUGGGUAGGAGGCAUCCCGAGCCCAGGCUGCCUAGUCUCCUGGAGAGCGCCAGAGUGGACACUGUGAGUGUCCUCAGUAGUUCUCCUUGUUUCCCACUGCCAACCAGGUUUGUGCUGACCCCUCUCUCUUCAGGUGUGUGACUACAGUACUGCCAGCUGGAAACCAUUUUCUUUCAUGAUACUUUGUCCCUGCUCUGACCCACUGGAUACUGAUUUCCAGUCUCUCAGAAGUAACUCCAAGUACCGACAAAAGAGAUGAGAAACGUUGACUGGCAAGUGGAAUGGAAGACUCAGCUAAGUCUAGGAACUUCCCAGAACAGAUGGAGGAAACCCAAGUCUACGAGUUAUCAGGCCCCAUACUAGACACUGAGGGCACAGUGAGGAAGAGAAGACAUAUGACACUGUGAUCUUACAGCGCUUAACAGUCAAACCAGAAUCAAGCAAACGAAGGAACCUGGGACUGAACAAUUAAUGUGAGGGGCAGGGAAGGCUUCCGCAAAGAAGUGACGUGUGAACAGAGACAACGACGAGACGUCUGCUGGGCAGAGUGGAGUCUUCCAGGCAGAGAUGUAAGGUGACAGCUUCUCUGGGUCUCUCGAGGUGUCUGCCUUAUACUUUGUCGUCUUGGAAUGUCAAGACACAAAGGAACUGAACCUUGAAAACAUCGUGCUAAGUGACAGAAGCCAGACACAAAAGACACAUACUGGGGAUGCUUCCAUUUAUGUGAAAUGUGCAGAACUGGCAAAUCUAUGGAGAGGGAAAGUAGACCUAGAGCUGUGGGAGUUGAGGGGGGAAUGGGGAGAGACUGCCAGUGAGCUCGAGGUUCUUUUGCGGGGUGAUGGAAAUGUUCUAAAUUUCGACUGUAGUGAUGGUCACACAACUCUGAAUAGAAGAAAAACCACUGUACACUUUAAACGGGUGAACUGUAGAGUACGUGAAUUAUAUCUUAAUAAAAUUGUUUUUUAAAAAAAGAGAGAGGAAACAUACUUUCCAACUCGUUGUUCUUACCUCUCCAUGUUUUUAAAGAUGUUGCAUUUAUCAUCACCAGUGGUCAGCUGGAAGGCCAAGGCCGCGUGGUGUCUCUCGAGCACAGCAGUGUCGUUAUACAGAAUGGCCAGCUCACUCCCAGCAUUGCACAGGAAGGAGUUUGUUCUCCCGGGGUGGUCCAGGUCAUGGACAGUGGCUGCAAUGAGGGCAGUGACCUCAUCAAGUGGAUCUAAAGUUUGCUGAAAACAAGAGAUCAUUUAAAAAUUGGGGCAAGGCAUUGAAAGCAAGGUAGCCUUCUGGGUAGUAGUUUUCUUUCUGCCCUAUUACUUUAAGGUAAGGAUGUUUCGGAUUUCUGAGAAAAGCAUAAUGUUGAGCAAACUCAGUUUUCCCAUCUCCACUCAGACACAGUUUCAUCUUUGCAUGUUUAUUAGGAAACAUUAUCUGAUUCUCAGUCUCACAAGUUAAGGACUUACCAAGACACAGGUGUCCUCAACAGACAGGAGUCACCUCCUCAGAAAGUCUGUCUCUAGACCCAUCACAAAAAAAGGCCUUUAGUCUGAGAUAUUGACUUAGACCAACAUAAACUAGUAUUACUGAAUAAAAGAGAGAAAUAAUUUUUUAAGUUAUGCAUCUCUUACAUUAACUGGGGAUUGGUCUAUAGUUUUCUCCCCCCUUCUGCUGCUACCUUUGUCAGGUUGAUUUCAGGGUUUUGUGACUCUGUAAAAUGAUCUGGACGUUUUCCAUCUUUUUCAAGACUUUGAAACGGUUUAUGUAACAUGGAAAAAUUCCUUAGAGGGCUAAAGAACUCACCUGUCCAUCUGGGUCAGGAGCCAGGUUUUGAAGAAAUUAGUUGAUAGUUUAAAAACAACUCCCAUGGUACUGACCUCUCUCUUGGUUUUCUACUUCCAGCAUUAAUUUGAUUUAAAACUCUAAGUACAGAAGUGUAUGGUACUUUCUUCUAUUAAUCUCCAUUUCAAAUGCGUGUAUUUCUGUGUUUACUGUGUUUCUGAUUAGUUUGGCUAGAACUUAAUUCUCUUGGUGUUUCAAAGAAUCAUUCUGGAUUAUCACUUUGCUCUUCCCAUUUUACAGGUUUUGAUACAUAGGCUUCUCAUUUUGUUGUUUUCUAAACUGUUAUUUUUGGCUUUAUUUCCUUGCUUAUCCCUAAAUUGUUUGAAAUAUUUUCUCAUUUGUAGUGACUAACAUUUUUUAUUUAACUUUUAGUUAUUAAAUUCUAGUUUUUGUUGUGGUUAGAAAAUACAGUCUAUGAAAUUUUGAAGUUUAUCAAGACAGUAAUUGUGUCCUAGUAUAAGAUCAUUUUUGGAAAUAUUCUACAAACACUUGAAAACAAGGUGUAUAUCUAAUAAAUCAGUCUUGUAAAAUUUAUUUAAAUUGAAAUUCAACAGUUUUAUCUUUAAAUGGGUGAAUUUUAUGAUGUGAAUUAUAUCAAUGCUAUUAAAAAUUAAUAAGUUAGCUUUCUGAAUAUAUAUUUGUAUGUUAUCUAUAGAGGAGUUCAAAAUCAAUAAAUUACAGCAAAAGUUAGGUUGUCUUUAUAUGCUGAACCAUAUUGACACAGACAUCUCUCCUCUGCCAUUUGUCUUCAUGCUUUAUAAAAACAGCCCUCUCUCUGGACUCUUAUUAUGCCUACAGUCUGUUGUUAUUAAAACAACAACAACAACAAAACCCGAAAAACCAAACUAGAGGGAAAGAGAAAGCGCAAAUGGGAGACCCAGCUCUGAGAAGAUAGGAUUUCAGGGUGGGGAGUGACUCAACAUGACCACGUGCUGGAAUCAUCCCCGCACGCUGCUCUCCUCCCUACAACUAACUAGUCGCAGGUACAGAUGAGGUAGUGGGACCGGGAUGCACUGGCCCUCACUCUGCUGACUGCCAGGGCUGGUCCUGGCCACCAUGUGGCCUUCCUCAGAUGCCAGGACAUCAGGCAGUGAUGCCUCGCUGUCUCAUUCCUCACGAGGCCCUGUUUCCUUAGGUACAAAACCAACAGUUUGAUUCAACUGCUCUCAAGUAUACAAUACUUCUGAAAGUGAAAUGGCCACGCACUAGAGCUCCCUGGACCCUCUGUACCA